GUCCUUAAAAUGAUGUAAACUUAUUUCUGCUGUUAUUGCCCCUCCUAUAUCACCCUUUCCCUAUAUAUGAAGACCUACAAGAAAAUUUAAGAUUAUCUAGGGGAGAAAAAUGUAACUUUUCCUUUAUCCUUUUAGGUUCUUGGUUGAGACAUCCCUGUAAUAAAAGACAGACUAGAGGAGAAAAGCAAACCAAAGUUUAAUUACAUGUAUACCUCCUGCACACAUGGGAGAUACCCAGGAAAUCUGAGUAACUCCCUGAAAUGGCUCCAGCUGUCACCUAAAACAGCACCCAGCUAAAGACAAAAGAUGUUGAGAGAAGGCUGGAAGCCAGUUAAGGGAGGUUACCAGGAAAGUCUGAGCAAACAAGCCCAGGGGACCUGUGUGUGAUGAUGAACUGUAACACCGUCCUCCACUGCCUAAUAGGCUUGAUCAUAUAACCAUGCUUACAUGGCUCCGAAGUUCAAGAAGGCAUCACUCACAGGUCUGGCAGUUGGUCGUGGUUAUCAGCUAAGGUGCCUCAGAUGAUUCCAUGUCAGUCUCUUAUCCUUCAGUAACCUGGACAGGAUUUCUUUCGUAUUCCAAGAAGGCAAGACAUUAGGCAUAAGUAGCUUUUAAGCCUCUGCUUGCAACAUGUUUGCUGAUGUUCCCACUGCCCAAAGACAGUAAUGUUGCCAAGCCAAGAGUAAACGUGAGGGAGAAUAUAUAACUUUAUGGCUACCUGAAUUCAUGAUUCAUUGGGAGUUAUCACUGGAAGAAUCUACAACAAAUGGUACUGACAUUUAGAUUAUAGAGUUGGUCUUAGAAUAUUAUAGCUUAAAGGAAUCUUAUGGGACAAGUAUUUCAAUCCCCCCACCAGGUAAAAUAAGGCAAUAGGUAUGAUCAGACCCAAUCAAUUACCUGAUUAAAGAACAGCGUUGACAUUAAAAUUGAGGUUUUUUUUUUUAUGUUUUUAUUUAUUUUUGAGACAGAGAGAGAGCACAAGCAGGGGAGGGGCAGAGAAAGAGGGAG